rnacentral:rRNA from 1 species
ACGCUCGACACCUACGGAGGCAGCAGUCGGGAAUAUUGCGCAAUGGAGGAAACUCUGACGCAGUGACGCCGCGUGCAGGAAGAAGGUUUUCGGAUUGUAAACUGCUUUAGACAGGGAAGAACAAAUGACAGUACCUGUAGAAUAAGCUCCGGCUAACUACGUGCCCGCAGCCGCGGUAAUCUGAGCGGGCUGGCAAGGC